UGCCAGACUCCUACGGGAGGCAGCAGUGGGGAAUAUUGCACAAUGGGGGAAACCCUGAUGCAGCGACGCCGCGUGAGCGAAGAAGUAUUUCGGUAUGUAAAGCUCUAUCAGCAGGGAAGAAAAUGACGGUACCUGGGUAAGAAGCUCCGGCUAAAUACGUGCCAGCAGCCGCGGUAAUACGUAUGGAGCAAGCGUUAUCCGGAUUUACUGGGCGUAAAGGGAGCGUAGGCGGCCUGCCAAGUCUGAUGUGAAAUCCGGGGGCUCAACCCCCGAACUGCAUUUGAAACUGUUGGUCUUGAGUAUCGGAGAGGCAGGCGGAAUUCCUAGUGUAGCGGUGAAAUGCGUAGAUAUUAGGAGGAACACCAGUGGCGAAGGCGGCUUACUGGACAGUAACUGACGUUGAGGCUCGAAAGCGUGGGGAGCAAACAGGAUUAGAUACCCCAGUA
rnacentral:rRNA from 1 species